rnacentral:rRNA from 1 species
AUGCUAGAUUUGCUGGCUGAAUAUCGAGAUGUAUCUCAGUGUGUUGAAACAUCUAUUGUUGGAAACACCCCAACUGUUCCUAAUGGUGGUGUGGAUGAAAUUUUGGGCGUGUUUGAGCAAUACUUGUCUUCACAACCUGUCGCUCCUUCUCCAGUUCGCACUGAAUUGGACAUGUACUUGGAUGAGCCCCUUAUUCAUAGAACAACAGAUUUUGACAUUAUUAAUUGGUGGAAAGUUGGAGGUGCCAAGUACCCUACUUUGCAGAAGAUUGCUCAUGAUAUAUUACCCAUCCCUAUUACAUCUAUGGCAUCAGAGUCAGUCUUUAAUACUAGUGGGAGGUUACUUAGUGUACAUCGCAAUCGGCUUACACCAAGCAUGGUUGAAGCUCUUAUGUGUAUGCAAGCUUGGUCACGAGCGGACAUGUUAGGUGGUAUCAACUUCGCUCUACAAGCAGUUCAAAAUGUUCUUGAUGAUGAAGAAGAAGUGAUGGAUGAAAAUGAGUCCAUCAUUACUGAAGACUAA